rnacentral:lncRNA from 1 species
GGAAAAGGAGGAUGCCUGUGUUUUCAUCAUGAGACGACCUGUUUUGGAUUUUGGAAAUGUGGGGAGAAGAGUUAAUGCAGAGAAAGAAGAGACCAGACAGGAGAAACAGGAAGCCCGAAGAUACCCUGAGGUUUGGUAGUGAUUUGGGGUUACUUCAGGAUUAUUAAUUAAAUCAAUCUCCAUCUGGCUCCAAAUUCCAUCUGAAGCUUUUCCUCUAUUCUCCUUCCGGGAGAAGGAGCAGAGAGAAGAGAAUCACUGUGUUCCUGUCGCCGGCAUUUCUCACAAGGAGACUACCUCCUUGCCGUCACCGAUGAAGUUCCACGGAAAGAUAUUCUCGGAAUCCAUUCUGAGCCAAGCGAUCCGAACAAGAUCUAUUGGGUGUUGAGGGUCAAAUCCUGGGAUAAAUCAAAGUAUGGUCAAAGAGCUAUUGAGAAGGCAGAGCAGAAGGAACGUACAAGCAUGACUGGUGGAAAUGUAACCGCUCCAGAAAACCUCGGUCAGUUUCUCCAAAGUUAAUGUAUGGGAUCAUGUGACCCUGACAUCCCACUUCUCGGUAUGCAUUCUAGAAAAAUGAAAUUUACGUUAAAUCAAACACUAUCCAUGUAUGUUAAUGAGA